UAAAGAUAAGAGUCCAGAUGGGUUGAGGGU
rnacentral:piRNA from 1 species